UACGUAGGGUCCGAGCGUUGUCCGGAAUUAUUGGGCGUAAAGGGCUCGUAGGCGGUUCGUCACGUCGGGAGUGAAAACUCGGAGCUUAACUCCGAGCCUGCUUCCGAUACGGGCAGACUAGAGGUAGGCAGGGGAGAGCGGAACUCCUGGUGUAGCGGUGGAAUGCGCAGAUAUCAGGAAGAACACCGGUGGCGAAGGCGGCUCUCUGGGCCAUUACUGACGCUGAGGAGCGAAAGCGUGGGGAGCGAACAGG
rnacentral:rRNA from 1 species